GUUCACAACUUAAAAGCAUGCGUCCCGGUGCAUGCGUCCCGGUGGUUUGGGACAACUGGUAAACAUUUGGAAGGGAAACAUUGGGUAAAUAACUUAAUCGGUUUUGGUUAUUGCCUGGAGGGCAAUGGGGGUGAUUAGUUGAUAGCGCUAUUAGGUGGGAAACCUCACACCGGGCCGUAAGGACGGGCGUGAACUAAUUAUCUGGGUAUGGCUAUGGUUGUUAGAGGCACACUCCUCGGAUACAUACGGGCACUCUCCCUAGGGUAUCUAACGAAGGCAACAUAGCAAACGGUCGUUAAGGGGUACCCACUCCCCGGAUACAUAUGGGCACAUUCCCUAGGGUAUCUAGCAUGAGCAACAUUGUAUCGCAGUGUUAAAUCGUAUUAACAUACAUAUGGUAACAUAACUUGUUAACAAAACCUUGAACUCACCAGCGUAGUCUGACACACUUGUUUACAUGCUUGUAGG
rnacentral:lncRNA from 1 species